UGAUCCGGAUCAGGGACAGUGUCUGGUGGGUAGUUUAACUGGGGCGGUUGCCUCCUAAAGAGUAACGGAGGCGCCCAAAGGUUCCCUCAGCCUGGUUGGUAAUCAGGUGGUGAGUGUAAGUGCACAAGGGAGCUUGACUGUGAGACUGACGGGUCGAGCAGGGACGAAAGUCGGGACUAGUGAUCCGGCGGUGGCUUGUGGAAGCGCCGUCGCUCAACGGAUAAAAGGUACCCCGGGGAUAACAGGCUGAUCUUCCCCAAGAGUCCAUAUCGACGGGAUGGUUUGGCACCUCGAUGUCGGCUCGUCGCAUCCUGGGGCUGGAGUCGGUCCCAAGGGUUGGGCUGUUCGCCCAUUAAAGCGGUACGCGAGCUGGGUUUAGAACGUCGUGAGACAGUUCGGUCCCUAUCCGCUGCGCGCGUAGGAGUUUUGAGAAGGGCUGUCCCUAGUACGAGAGGACCGGGACGGACGAACCUCUGGUGUGCCAGUUGUUCUGCCAAGGGCAUGGCUGGUUGGCUACGUUCGGGAGGGAUAACCGCUGAAAGCAUCUAAGCGGGAAGCCUGCUUCGAGAUGAGAACUCCCACCCCCUUUGAGGGGUUAAGGCUCCCGGUAGACGACCGGGUUGAUAGGCCGGAUCUGGAAGCCCAGUAAUGGGUGGAGGUGACCGGUACUAAUAGGCCGAGGGCUUGACCAU
rnacentral:ncRNA from 1 species